rnacentral:rRNA from 1 species
GACGAACGCUGGCGGCGUGCUUAACACAUGCAAGUCGAACGGAAAGGCCCUGCUUUUGUGGGGUGCUCGAGUGGCGAACGGGUGAGUAACACGUGAGUAACCUGCCCUUGACUUUGGGAUAACUCCAGGAAACUGGGGCUAAUACCGGAUAGGAGCUCCUGCUGCAUGGUGGGGGUUGGAAAGUUUCGGCGGUUGGGGAUGGACUCGCGGCUUAUCAGCUUGUUGGUGGGGUAGUGGCUUACCAAGGCUUUGACGGGUAGCCGGCCUGGGAGGGGGACCGGCCACAUUGGGACUGAGAUACGGCCCAGACUCCUACGGGAGGCAGCAGUGGGGAAUAUUGCACAAUGGGCGGAAGCCAGAUGCAGCAACGCCGCGUGCGGGAUGACGUCCUUCGGGUUGUAAACCGCUUUCGCCUGUGACGAAGCGUGAGUGACGGUAAUGGGUAAAGAAGCACCGGCUAACUACGUG